CAGUAGCCGCGGUAAUACAGAGGGUGCAAGCGUUAAUCGGAUUUACUGGGCGUAAAGGGCGCGUAGGUGGUUAUGUAAGUGAGAUGUGAAAUCCCCGGGCUCAACCUGGGAACUGCAUCUUAUACUGCGUAGCUGGAGUGCAGUAGAGGGUAGUGGAAUUUCCGGUGUAGCGGUGAAAUGCGUAGAUAUCGGAAGGAACACCAGUGGCGAAGGCGGCUACCUGGACUGACACUGACACUGAGGCGCGAAAGCGUGGGGAGCAAACAGGAUUAGAUACCCCGGUAGUCCCUGUCUCUUAUAA
rnacentral:rRNA from 1 species